CAGCCGCCACGGGAAUACGUAGGGUGCAAGCGUUAAUCGGAAUUACUGGGCGUAAAGCGUGCGCAGGCGGUUAUAUAAGACAGAUGUGAAAUCCCCGGGCUCAACCUGGGAACUGCAUUUGUGACUGUAUAGCUAGAGUACGGCAGAGGGGGAUGGAAUUCCGCGUGUAGCAGUGAAAUGCGUAGAUAUGCGGAGGAACACCGAUGGCGAAGGCAAUCCCCUGGGCCUGUACUGACGAUCAUGCACGAAAGCGUGGGGAGCAAACAGGAUUAGAUACCCCCGUAGUCCCUGUCUCUUAUAC
rnacentral:rRNA from 1 species